rnacentral:rRNA from 1 species
CAGUCGCCGCGGUAAUACCGAGGGUGCAAGCGUUAAUCGGAUUUACUGGGCGUAAAGGGCGCGUAGGUGGUUAUGUAAGUGAGAUGUGAAAUCCCCGGGCUCAACCUGGGAACUGCAUCUUAUACUGCGUAGCUGGAGUGCAGUAGAGGGUAGUGGAAUUUCCGGUGUAGCGGUGAAAUGCGUAGAUAUCGGAAGGAACACCAGUGGCGAAGGCGGCUACCUGGACUGACACUGACACUGAGGCGCGAAAGCGUGGGGAGCAAACAGGAUUAGAUACCCCUGUAGUCCCUGUCUCUUAUAC